CCCAUCCCUGACAGGCAUAAAUUGAGUCCAAGCUACCUAACCUGAUGGGGACCGGACUGGACGCAAAGGCUGUUGCAGACUUUGAAGAAAUGAUGGUGACGGGGCCAAGGGAGGCAGUUGAGGAAGAAGCAAGGACGGGCAUUGAGCCAACAGUGAGCCCCUCUGAACAAUGAGAUCUUACUCUCCACGAAGAACGCUUUAUUACCAGUAAAUCAGACAAACAG